rnacentral:rRNA from 1 species
UUUCUUAUUGGCGGAGACUUUAAUGCCAAGCACAGAUGGUGGGGCUCCAGGAUUGUCAACCCUAAGGGCAGCACUCUGCUGAGGUGCGUCAGAGCGUUAAAUAUUGGACUUGGGCUAUAGUACCAUAUUCUUCAGCUUGUUUAAUUAAAUUUUGCAAAAGUCUGUUCGGUUUUUGUUAAGUUUACGGACAAAUAGUGAUAUUCAUAGUUUAUAGGUAUAUUAAUUGAUCCUGUUUUCAAUAUAAGAUAUACAUAUUUAGCUUGUAUUGAGUUCACCUCUAGGCUUUGACCACGGACGGAUCAAGAGGUAAUGAUUUAUAGAAGCAGUUUGGGGGCAUUAGUAUUACGACGCGAGAGGUGAAAUUCUUGGACCGUCGUAAGACUAACUUAACCAAAAGCAUUUGCCAAAGAUGUUUUCAUUAAUCACGACCGAAAGAGGUUAAACAAAGCCACCUAGCAAUUGGGUGUAGCUACUUUUAUGGCUCUCUCAGUCGCUUCCCGAGAAACCAAAGCUUUUGGGCUCGGGGGGAAGUAUGGUUGCAAAGCUGAAACUUAAAGGAAUUGACGGAAGGGCACCACCGACUCAAGACGGGAAAACUUACCAGGUAUACCAGUGUGUAAGACAGAUUGAUAGCUUUCUCGAAUCUAUGGAUGGUGGUGCAUGGCCGUUCUUAGUUCGUGGAGUGAUUUGUCUGGUUAAUUCCGAUAACGAACGAGGCUCAAAUAUAUUAAAUAGAUAUCUCCAGGAUUAUGGUGCUGAAGCUUAUACAGCCUUCAUUCAUGGUGGCAGUAAAAUAUUUAUUGUGUUUGAAUAUGUUUAUGUAAUUGUAGCCGUACCUGUUGGUUUGUCCCAUUAUAAGGACACUAGCUUAUAAUGUAGCUGCACGCGCGCUACAAUGAAAGUAUCAACGUGUAUUUCCUAGACCGAGAGGUCCGGGAAAACCGCUCAACCACUUUCAUGCUUGGGAUUGUGAACUGAAACUGUUCACAUGAACUUGGAAUUCCCAGUAAGUGUGAGUCAUUAACUCGCAUUGAUUACGUCCCUGCCUUUGUACACACCGCCCGUCGCUAAUACCGAUUGAAUUAUUUAGUGAGGUCUCCGAACGUGAUCACUGUGACGCCUUGCUUGUUACGGUUGUUUCGCAAAAGUUGACCGAACUUGAUUAUUUAGAGGAAGUAAAAGUCCUAACAAGGUUUCCGUAGGUGAACCUGCGGAAG